CGGGCCCUGUUUGCCUGGCGGAAGUCUGGAGCCACCCUCCGUGUCCAUCAGGAGGGGAAGGGACUAACACCUACCCAAGUGCCACAGGGUCUCUCAAAAGACCAAAACCCUUUCACACGCGGUGACGCGGAACUGGAUUGUGCAGCGGCCGUGAGAGAGAGCAAGGGCCCAGAGCCGGGCGCACAGGCAGGUCCUUCCUGUGCGAAGGGUUAGGGUGGGCCAUCCCUCCACGUGCCUGUGUAGGUACAGAACGUUCCUGGAAGCAUCCCCCCCGCCCCCGCCCCCGCCCCCGGCGUCUGGAAACGCUCGCUUCCCCUGGGUCGGCAGUUGGGAGGCCGCAGAUUCAUUUCACACAGCUCGUGCCUUCCGAACGACUUCCCACCGCGGUGCUGUGAUGUUACAGAAAUAGCGUUACGAAGAUUCAUGGCAUUUCAGCAGACUUUGCCUGUGUUACAGGCCAGACGGAGAUACCGUGUGAGCCAUGCGAGAGCUGCCCCUACAGAGUGGGCCAGGAGAAAGCAGCUUCCACGGGAAGCCGUUCUAAGGGCGUCACUAGGCGAAAAAGGUGAGGUGCUGUUCUCCGUGAUCUCUAACCGAAGGCAAAAGGCUUCCCGAUGUGUCCCCUAGAACCCCAAAGUUCUGGGAAAGCUGAGUGGAGUCCCAGGAGAGGGUGUUGAACAAGCCGACUUGGCCUUUGAGUGCUUCUGAGAAACGAGUGGCAUUUUCAUAUUUAAGUUCUCGAAGCGAUUUGAUUUCAGGAAAUAGUAUCUGUGGCCGCCGACGGCAGGAGGGGCAGGCCCCGUGAAGCCGUGAAGCCACGGAGACAGAGGCGGCGUACCAGGAAAGGACUGGACUCAGGCCGCCUGCCCUUCCCGGCUGAGGAAGCCUGGAUUACAUUUGAGCUGGAGGCUGGAUUUGAAUCAUAUUUGCAGAUGAUGCAAAAAUCUUUGUGGGUGUUUAUAUUCCUCCAGAGGGAGGUUGAAGGCAGAACGCCUUUGAGAAGCUGGAAAAAAGGCCAAGCAGGAUAACACAGAACAGUGUUUCCUAUUCUUACAACUGCCAAAUCCUGAAGUAGAUGAAAUAUUACUUACCAUUUUUCUUUAACUGAUGUAGUUAAAAAAAAACUAUAAUAGUUUCAUCUGGAGAAAUAAUAUCCACGGUUCUGAUGAGUUAGUGAUAUGCGUAUGUUUCAAACUCACAUAAAUAUUUAAUAGAUGCUAAAAUUUAAAAUGCACACACACACACAACCUCAUCUGCGUACCACCUACAAUAAUAUUGCAAACCAGCAGUGGUGUCUCUAUUAAGCGUGUUUAAAUGCUGGGUGUCAGACUCUGAGGGUUGCCUGGCCAAUGGCCAUGCCUCCCCUCCUUCCUGCUGACACCCUGAGUUUUAUCUGCGGCCCUGGGAAAUAAGCCACACUUGGUUUAAGGGAGUCAUGUCCAUUGUGCUCUCCCUGACCUGUGAUGGGCCCAGGAGCGGCCAUGUGACCCAGGUCUGGCCAAAGGGAAACUGCUGGGGGGAUUCUGGGAAGCAUUUCCUCUCUGAUAAGAAAGAGGCACACGGAGAGAGACGUAUUUGCCUCUUUCCCUUCCUUCCUGCUUCGGACAUUGUUGUGUGACGUGAUGAGUGAGCUGUGACCGUCACUUUGUGACAUUAGGUGACCAGCCUAGGGACAAGCUAGUGACUCGCUGAUGGCGAUGGUGGGAAAGGAGAGUGCAAAGAGCCUUGGUCCUUUAUGAAGUCUCCGGAUGCCAAAUACACCCCUGAGUCUCUACGUGCCAGGUGCCUUCUCAGUCAGCGACAAGCGUGGCCACAGCCUGAACGACCCUGACAGGGCCCAUCGGUCUUGGGCACCGGCACCCUUGGGCGCUCGACUUGACUUUCCCCAGCCUUAGUUUGCUUGUCCGUAAAAGCACUAAUAGUAAUACUACUCAGACAGUGAUUUUUGAGGACAGAGAAAUUUAAAUUCACAUCGCGCACUUAGCAUAAGUGCUGCCGUUGCUAUGAUUGCGAUUCUUAUUGAUUAUUGUCUCUAUAAUAUUUAGAGAAUCCUCUAAAAACAGGGGGAAAGGCAACAUGGACAGAGACAGGAAGUUGAUGGCACCUAAUUAAAGGCCACCAGCUGGGCACAGAAAGAGCAGAAAAUGAUGCGAGUGUCAAGAGCUGACUGAAAGCUGCUGUGGAUGAGUCAGAGCUUCAGUAAACAUGGAAGCCCGAGGGUGGGGGCGUGGGGGGUG